AUAGUAAUAUCAUAGGUGAGCCCUUGCUCGAUAUGACCAAAUUUAUAUGAGUAUUGGGUGAAAAUUGGGUUUGAACUUAGCCAUAUCGAGAUACAUGUACUUUCGUGUUUUUUUUUUUUUUUUUUUUUUUUUUUUUUUAAGUUUUGUACCGACUUCACACGCUCAUUCCAUCUGUACGGCACCACCAUUAUACACAGAGCAUGUGCAAAUCCAC
rnacentral:lncRNA from 1 species